rnacentral:rRNA from 1 species
GCAGUCUGCAACUCGAGUGCAUGAAGCUGGAAUCGCUAGUAAUCGCGAAUCAGAAUGUCGCGGUGAAUACGUUCCCGGGUCUUGUACACACCGCCCGUCACACCAUGGGAGCCGACAACGCCCGAAGUCAGUGACCUAACCAAGAGGGAGGAGCUGCCGAAGGCGGGGUUGGUAACUGGGGUGAAGUCGUAACAAGGUAGC